rnacentral:rRNA from 1 species
UACGUAGGGUGCAAGCGUUGUCCGGAAUUAUUGGGCGUAAAGAGCUCGUAGGCGGUUUGUCGCGUCUGCUGUGAAAACCCGAGGCUCAACCUCGGGCCUGCAGUGGGUACGGGCAGACUAGAGUGCGGUAGGGGAGAUUGGAAUUCCUGGUGUAGCGGUGGAAUGCGCAGAUAUCAGGAGGAACACCGAUGGCGAAGGCAGGUCUCUGGGCCGUAACUGACGCUGAGGAGCGAAAGCAUGGGGAGCGAACAGG